rnacentral:lncRNA from 1 species
UCUACUUCAUUUCUCUCUGCGUAGAUACAUCCACUUUGUACUACAACAUAGACUACAAGGUCCGUUUCGUUACGAAUAAUUACAUGGAUCAACAUGUUGAACAUCGACACAUGUGAUUGGUACAUUCAAAUAACUUCAUUUUCUCAAAUUAAUACUAGUGUUAUUGUGUUGUAUCAUGUACUAGUUCUUCAUAUAUCUCAAUUGAAUACUUGAAUGGGAUUGAUGACAAAUAACAAAGCCAAAAUAUGAUUUAUCUGGAUUUUUUUGUUUGUGGAGUUUUGGCUUAAUUUGAUAAUGUGAUUUUUGUUACCUAAUUUAGGUGAAUCGGCUGCAACACUCUUAUGAUGACAUUAUCGUCUUUCAUAAUUUGACCCGCUUGGAACUCCAUAAUUAUUGGAGUUUGGUAUUAUAAGUGCUUCAAUGCCUUAACCUUCAAAAUCUCAAACUUUUUCAGGUUUGAGGCACAUGUUAGUAUAUUUGUCUUUGAGGCCUUAACCUACGUUUUGCUAUUCAAAAGAUUUCAGGAAGAAAUAUACAAACAAAUCAAAAUUGAUAUUCAAAUUUUUAGAAAGAAAUAUACAAGAAAUUAAAAUUGGUCAUGAUAACAUGUUAUUGGUCAAAACGUUAUAUUUCACUCAAGAUUUAUCCACUGAUAUGGUAAAACAAUAUCAUAUGCUCUUGAUCCAAAAAAAUGUGACUUCAUAUAUUAUUUCAACGAAUAGCUUCAGGUCACCAAGCAUAAUGAGUUCAUUGAUAUAACAAUACCAUUUAACUUUCUCUACGUGAAAUAGGUUUAUCUUACUCUCAAAAACCAAAAUCAAGCUAUAUAUUUCAAACUUUUCUGAUGAAAGUAUGUAUUAGGCCAUCUUGAGGAUCACUUGUUAUGGCAUCCAUACUCCAAUGUAAACAACAUUAGCAUAACCGGUGAUCAUAACUUAAAGCUAGUGUUGCAACUUAAAUGAUCCAUUUAAAAUUACGUUUUUUUAAAAGACUAACCUAAUACAAACGUAAAAACUUAAAGGAUCUUUGAAUAUAUUUAGCAUUUUUAUAUGUCUUGUAAACUUAGUGCCUUUAUGGCACAACGUUAACAAUCCCAAAGAUAGUUUUGCAUUGAAAAUACAAUAUUUUAACUGUUAAAAAGUUGAACGCUUGACUUUUAAGAUGAAUAUAUUGAGAUUCUUGCUAUGUGCACUUGGGGUGCAUAUUCACUUGGGGUACAUAUUAGUAUUUCCCUUUCUAUAAGGCUUUGUUCGUGAGUCUAAUGGAGAAUGGAGGGGAAGGCUAUGGAAAUAAGGAAGAAACAAGUGAAAGAAAUAUAGAAAACUAGGAGGGAAGGACUUUUGGGGGUUCAUUUUUCUUCAUAACACAAAUUCCUCCUCGUUUGGGUGAACUAAAAAAUUACAUUGGAGGAUGGUUUUCGAGGGUUUGUGUGAAUUCUUUAAAUUUAUUCUAUGUUGUUAUAAUAUUUUUUAAAUUAAAAAUAUAUUAAUCAUAAACAUUACUGUAUAAUUCUCAAAAAAAAAAAAAAUCUUUGAAAAAUAGUGAUUUUUUCUUUCUAUUUCUCCCUAUAUUUCUCACCCUCAAAGUCUUUUCUUCUCCUCCGCUCCAAACUCUCAAACAAAUUAUACCUUAAUAGUUAUAGGGGCAAUAAAAGAAUAUAUAUGUGUGUGUGUGAUGUUGGUGUUCCUCGCCUAAUUAUAGAAUGGUAAUUGAUAUAAUUUAAAAUUUGUCCAUAAAAUAAUAUAACGUAAUUUAUUUAAACAGCUAUUUGAUAGAUCAUAGAUGCAUAUUGUAUAAAUGUAAUAGAUGUUAAAAUUUACAACCAUGUUGAGUUCUAACAUAUAUAAUAUUCACUUUCACAUGAUAUCCAUGAUUCAAAUAGUUAAAUUUAAUACAUUUAUUUUUUAAGAAAGUCAUAUUUAAUACAUGAAAAAUGAGAAAGAUAGAUAUUUGUUUUGUAAAAUGUAGUGAUGGUUCAUGGUAGUAGUUGGUGUUAUUGUUUGUGAUUGAAAUGCAUACCUUUAAGAGUUUGGAGUCAUGCUUAGUUUAUGAAAAUGAUAAAAAAAUCAAUUAUGUGAUUCAUCUAAUACUCAAAAUUAUUAUUUUUUAAUUUGAAAAUAUAUGAUAUAUAUUAAUUAUGUUUUGGCUUAAUUGAUCAAGUGGUCCCUUAACUUAAUUAUUUAUUUCAAAGUGGUCCUCAAACUAAAAAAUGGUCAUAAUAUUUGCUUCCGUUUGUCAAUUUAGUUCAAUUCCGUUAAUUUUAACCCCUAACGUGUAAGAUAGACCAUAAUUGAAGGUGGUCUACCAUAGACUUUAUUAAUCUUUUUAAUUUGAGCCCUUUGAUUUUUGUCUAUAAAUGAGAACCGUUGGAUCACGCAUGUCUAUCGUAUCUUAUAGUAAACCAAUAACUGAUUUCUAUUCCCUUUCUUCAUCUUCUUCCUUUCAUUUCUUCAUCAUCAUCAACAACAUCUUCAUAUACCUUCAUCAAUCUUCAAACAUUAAAAUCUAGAAUACCCCCCAAGUUCAAAAAAGUUGUGAGUUUGGCCCCCUGUGAACAAAAAUGACAAUUUUGGUCCCCUAAGAUUUAGCCUAUUUGCAACUUUAAUCCUUUUUGUCAACUUUGACUUAUUCAACGCCUACGUUAGUAGGAUUAAAUGUAGGGAGGAUAUACUGAUCCCUUAACUUAAUUAUUCAACUUUUGCGGUCUAUGUCAAAUCCCCGAUUCAAUUGGAUGUCUAUACUGGUUAGUAGGAUUAAAUGUAGGGAGGAUAAACAAUACAAUUAAAUUUUUCAUCUUCUUCAAAACAACAUCAAUAACUUCUCACAAAACCCAAAAAAAUGUUUUGAAGUUACUAGUCACUACUUCACUCAAAGGUAGGAACCUUCCAAUCACUUCCCUUAGUUUCCUUCUUUGACCGUAACACUAUCCUAAACCUUUCAAUUUUUAUUUUAACAACCCAAGUUUUUUAUUCAAGCUCCGCCACCGUAGACAAAUGAAACAAUUAUAAUCAUAUGAAUAAGAGAUGGGUACCAUUAUUUUAGUUUCCACAUAGCACUAAAACUAACCAUGUAUGCAAGAAUUUGAAACCAAAAUAUGAGAACAAAACAAAGACAUGAACAAUUGUCUAGAUGCAGAACAAAUUACAAACACAUGAAAGACACAAACAAGUGCAGCCACGAAUUGUCGCAAAAAGAGCCCAUGAUGUCAUUGCAAGAUUUGACAAAUAUAAAUCUUUCCAGAAAACUGUGUUUUCAGUAUCAUUUUUGCUCCAAAACACCAGGAAGAUACGAAAAUACCUCCAACGAUAGUUAGGCGCAACAACAACAUUAGCCAACAUCAGUUAACUGCUGCCUAGAGGUAUUUUCAUAUUUCCCUGAUGUUUUGGAGCAAAAAUGAUAGUGAGAAGAACAAUUUUCAUUUUGCAAAGUCACGUUUUCAAGGAACACAUGACAGUGGGUUAGAUUAGACCAACAUAGUUGUGAUGUCAAUGUGCUAACAUGAUACAACCUUCUCCAAUUUUGCAUAAAAAAUAAUAUAUAAUUCACAUACACACUCUUUCUCUCAUCCCUUUCUCUCUCAAUUUAGUCCAUGUCUUUAGUUUCUUGGAGUACAAGAAACAGUUUUGCACUAACAAAUCGGUAUUAUAAGCCCGCUGGUUCAUGAGUGUAGAGUACACAAAUUUUGGGAUUAAGAAUUCAUUAUCAACUGAGCUAAUAUGGCGGGUGGUAAUGAUUUUCCAGGCCCACUCCCAAUUCUUGAUGACAAGAACCGGGAAAAAAGGCAAAUCUAAAUGAAUGCGCUAUUCAGAUUUCAAGAUGUUCUUAUGGAGUUGAAGAACUUUCUGCAAACCAUUCAUUAGUUCAAAGAACUGUUCAUAAAGAUGCAAAGAAGAAAGAUUGCAAAUCCAUUCUUUAUACAUCAAAGUGUUGAAGCUGGCAAUUUUG